rnacentral:lncRNA from 1 species
GUUUUUGAGCUCUUAACAUCUAGCAGCUAAAAAGAAUUGAGUAAGUGUAAGGUCUUGUUACAUAGUUUAAGUGACCCUGUUUUUGUAGCAAUAAUGGACAAAGGUAAUAUUUAAAUUAUAAAAUGUUGCCUGCUUUACAUAUAGAUAUGAGUUGAAUUUUAAAAAGCAUAACUUAUUAAAAUUCACAAGUUCAAGGGGAAAUUUUAACUUUUGAAUAUAGGUGGCAGGUUUUAAGAAGCAAAUGGCAGAUACUGGAAAACUGAACACACUGUUGCAGAGAGCCCCCCAGUGUCUUGGGAAAUUUAUUGAGAUUGCUGCCCGAAAGAAGCGAAAUUUUAUUCUGGAUCAGACAAAUGUGUCUGCUGCUGCCCAGAGGAGAAAAAUGUGCCUGUUUGCAGGCUUCCAGCGAAAAGCUGUUGUAGUUUGCCCAAAAGAUGAAGACUAUAAGCAAAGAACACAGAAGAAAGCAGAAGUAGAGGGGAAAGACCUACCAGAACAUGCGGUCCUCAAAAUGAAAGGCAUGGAAUUUUAAUUCUGUUACUGUGUGAAAUCUUCUUUUUA